GCGGGGUCCCGGGGGGUUUGGGGUGUCCCCCCAGCCUGAGCCGGCAGCUGGGCGGCGCAGACGCAAUUCUCCUCGGACAGAUUUUUCCCCUCGUCCCACAUCUCCCCCCAGCCCCCCCAGAACGGCAGCUGCUCGGGCGGCAGAUGCGCCGGCUAAAUCCGCACAGCUGGUCCCUCCGCAGAGCUAACCGCCUGGAGUCCUUGGGGUGUGUGUGUGGGGGGGGGGGGAGGUGCGUCCUGGUCCUUACCCUUUCCCGCCCCUGCCCUUUAACCCUUGCUUUCUUGCAGGGGAGGGGGGUUCUCUCUUGGACGCUUUUCCAAGUUCAAAUACCCUCCUGGAGGAUUUCGGUGUAACUGGUGCCCAGAGAGGGUGUGGACCGUUCCAGAGACGACACGGCACCGUGGGCCUGUUGCCAGAACAUGGCCCGUCUUGUGCAUAUAUUAAUCGUUAGAAGGAUGAGCUGACAUUUAUCGAGCAGCUACUGAAUGCAGCCCGGCGACUCCAGAACAAGGCUACUGUUAUGAUCCCAUUUUUAGGCGUGGAAACUGAGGCCCAGAGAGAAAAGGCUUGGGCACUCACAGAGCCAGGAAAUCAGACUGGAUUUGUAAGCCCACACUUUUCAUUGCCUCCAUGGGCUCUGGGACCCCUAGCUGGGAAGGCUCUUCAGGAAAAUGACUUGGGACCUGGGCUGAGUGAGUAGGGUCUCGGCGACCUGCUUCCUGCACCCUUUCUAAGCACAUCUGAACCUGGAUGGACCCUCCCUUCCUUGCUUCUUCAGCCCCAUCACCAGUACCACUCUCAUCUGGAAGCUCUGAGGAGCUCUAGGGGGACUGCGGGAAGGAGGAAGCAUCACUCGGAAGUGUUGGAGCCAAGCACUGCAGAUUGCCUCUCCCACAGCACCAUUUGUCCCCUGCUGGGUUCCCAUUGCCUAGAACAGGAGUGGGGGACGUCUGGUCCAUGGGUCGCUUAAGGUCUGAGGAAUCAUUUGGUCUGGCCUGCCAAGGCAUUAGGGAAAAGCUGUUUGGAGGAAAAACCAGAUGGUGACAGUGGAGGGGGGUGUGAAUGACCUCAGCCAGUGGCGGUCCCAUCACUGCCACCAGGGUCAGCUACUCAGGUGAUGCUGACGUCAGUGGGUGGCGGGGCUCUUGGCAGGUGCUGAGCUCAGGAACUCCACACCACGCUCCUGGUACCCUCUUGCCCUUCCUGGGACCAGCUCGACUCCAGCUACCAAACCUCCAAUGUCUUCAGGAAGCAGAACCGAGCCCGUGGGCCUUGACCCUCUUCGGCCUAUUUAUUCAGCUAACUUUAUUGAGCACCUAUUGUGUACAGGCUCUAGGCCCUGCCGGGAACACAGCAGUGAUGGAGAUUGAGCUGGUUAUGGGAGAGUUUAUGCUGAGCCAGUGGGACUGUCUGAUUGAACUUUUAAAAAGAUCCCUCUGGCCCUAACCUGUUUGGCUCAGUGGAUAGA